GCAUUUGAACGCGCCAUCUACUUUUCCAACCAGGAAGGCAGCAUCUGAGACAACCCACCGUUCGCCACAUAAACUUGAAACAAUUAUGCAAACGAGCGAAGGCACCAGUCUCGUUAGAGUCCUAGUUUGAUCACCAUCGCAUUUCCGCGGUUACACGGAGCUGCACCUGUUCUAUUGUCCAUAUUAUCCACCUCAGUGUACCGUAUCGGGGUAGGGUGAGUCUGGGAUAGAACUGUCAACCCACGGGUCAAAACCAAUGGCAUCAGGUCUUGCGACUGACCUCAGGUUGCACUAAAGGAUGUCGGCACGAAAUGUUGACAUUUAAUUCGUCACAUAGAUGUUGACGGACCUGCUGAGUUCCUCCAGUAUUUUUCAGUGUUACCAUGGUUACGAAGAUCCGCAAGCGGCAGCGUAUGGAGCAGUCAGUGAGGCUCUGAUCCUCCUGCCCCGGUAACGUCCGUGUAAAUUUUCUCUGCCGUCUUUCAAAAGAGUUCAUCUUCGCUGCAUAUGCCUUCCCUGUUGGGGUCCAUGUCCAGUGGAUUUUCAAAGCUGCUGUGCAGUGUGACGGUGCUGCAAAGAAGGCGUACAGUCUAUUGGCAUUCAUCAACCGUGGGACUGAGUUCAGGAUCCGUGAGGCUGGACAUCGGUCUGCGUGGAAGCUCUCACCACCAUCCGAUCGUCGUUCGCAAUCCAUUUCGAACAAAUGGUCUCCCAUCGGGUCCUAUCCGACACUGGUUCUCCCCUGCGUCUUCUCUCUUCGUCUCCCGCCGAACAAAAGGCCCCGACUCACAACGGCGUCAGUACACAACAGAAAAGCACACCCCGCUCAUUGGAAGGCUCACAUUUCGACGCAUCGGAAAUCUCCAGCUAUAAACUAAACGAAUGUUGCCUUACACUUAGAUAGGGAAGUUAACAAAGCUUAUGCGGUAUUAACUUUCAUAAGUCGAGAGAUAGCACUUGAGAGUCGCGAAGUAAUGAUGCAGCUCUAUAAAACUCUGAUUAUGCCACACUUGGAGUACUGUGUCCAGUUCUGGUCGCCUCACUAUAGGAAGGAUGUGGAAGCAUUGGAAAGGGUACAGAGGAGAUUUACCAGGAUGCUGCCUGCUUUAGAGAGUAUGGAUUAUGAUCAUAGAUUAAGGGAGCUAGGACUUUACACUUUGGAGAGAAAGAGGAUGAGAGGAGAUAUGAUAGAGGUUUACAAGAUUUUAAGGGGAACAGAUAGAGUGGGCAGACAGCACCUCUUCCCUAGGGCACCACUGCUCAAUACAAGAGGACAUGGCUUUCUGGUAAGGCGUUGGAAGUUCAAGGCGGAUAUUAGAGGAAGAUUUCUUACUCAGAGUGUGGUUGGUGCGUGGAAUGCACUGCCUGAGUCAGUGCUGGAGGCAGAUACUCUCGGGAAAUUUAAGAGACUACUAGACAGGUACAUGGAGGAAUUUAAGGUGGAGUGUGGGGUUAUAUAGGAAGCAGGGUUUAAGGGUCGGCACAACAUUGCGGGCCGAAUGGCCUGUACAGUUCUGUACUAUUCUAUGUUCGAUGUCCUAUAAACACAGCUUCUCAAUAUAGACCAUUACAAUAGCAAUAAAGUCUUCUUCCAGGGCGUGACACACAUCUUUAUAAAAAUGCUCGUCAGCACAUCACACUGCCAGUGAUAAUGCCCAGUCAUAACCCACCACAGUGUCACUGGUUGUCAGAAAAUAUUGGCCAUAUGUUUACUUCUCAGUGCUCGCCAUUUGUAGCAAAUAAAACCGGCACAACUGACAUACUGCAGAAUCACUAUCACAAGUGUGCUGUUAUCAAUGAUAUUUAAAGCGCCCUGCACAGGGGGAUAUGUCUGAAGUGAUGUGGACAGGAUUUCCUUUCAACGUAUCGUAAUGGACUUGCUUAUACCUGAUAAACAUUUCAGAGGAGCUAUUUACCAACGAAUGAUUAAGAUAACAGUGAAACAUCGUGGUACAGUAUUCGCCCUGGGCUUUUGUACUUAUUUGUGGAUUGAUAUCACAGGUGACCCGGCGGUCAGGGAGAAACGUUCACGCUUUAUUUUCUGUCAUCACAUUGGGCCGGGUUUACAUUCCAAGUCACUGGUUCAUUUUGUUUUUCGUAUAUGGAAAAGCAAUUCGGAUUCAUUUAUUUGUAAAUCUUGUUACACUCUUUUGCUUCGAAGACGAAAUAUA